AAAAAUGCUAGGCUAAUGUCUAGAUUAUGCCAAAAUUAUGCCAAAGAUUUUUGAAACACCUAUGCUAAAAAAAUGCUAAAAUAUCACUUGAAAUUAGACACUUAAAGCACAUACAUUUUUCAAAUUUACCGCCUUUUUCUACUGACAAGAUCUGCUUGACCAACUUUAUAUAGUCCGUUGACGUCCAUCCGUCGGAUCCGUCCACAAAAGUCAAAAUUCAUAUUAAAAUAUGAACCACAUAAGGCGAUGGCGCAUAUUGUUGCUGCGAAGUUGGUGCAAACUUGGCUUAGACUAAAUUAUGCUAAAAAAUAUGCCAGAUGCUAAAUGGAAGAUUUUGGUGCCAAAGCAAGUGAAAAUAUGCCAGAUCUGGCAUCAUUUAUGCCAAGUUGGCAACACUGUAUCUACCGUGAACGGGAGCCGACUCGUAGGUAUUAAUCCGAGCUCGCGCGGAGAGUUCCAUAGGCCUGACUAUAUACUGUUAAAACUUGGUAAGUAGAUUUAUUCUGUGAACCGCAUUAAGAUUUUUACACAAAAAUAGAAAAAAAAGCGGCCAAGUGCGAAUCGGACUCGCCCAUGAAGGGUUCCGUAACAGCAAGUAACAUAAUAAAAUUGCGGUUUACGGUUUAUGACGUAUUAAAAAAAACUACUUACCAAAUCUUGUUCAAACCAAUUGUCGGUGGAAGUUUGCAUGGUAAUGUACAUCAUAUAUUUUUUUUAGUUUUAUCAUACUCUUAUUUUAGAAGUUACGGGGGGGGACACACAUUUUACCACUUUGGAAGUACCUAUCCAUAGAUAUCCCACACGUAUGGGUUUGACGAAAAAAAAAUUUUUGAGUUUCAGUUCUAUGUAUGGGGAACCCUAAAAAUUUAUUGUUUUUUUUCUAUUUUUGUAUGAAAAUCUUAAUGCGGUUCACAGAAUACAUCUACUUACCAAGUUUCAACAGUAUAGUGCUUAUAGUUUCGGAACAAAGUGGCUGUGACAUACGGACGGACAGACAGACAUGACGAAUCUAUAAGGGUUCCGUUUUUUGCCAUUUGGCUACGGAACCCUAAAAACGAUAAA